CCUACGGGUGGCAGCAGUGAGGAAUAUUGGUCAAUGGACGAGAGUCUGAACCAGCCAAGUAGCGUGAAGGAUGACUGCCCUAUGGGUUGUAAACUUCUUUUAUAUGGGAAUAAACUGUUCCACGUGUGGGAUUUUGUAUGUACCAUAUGAAUAAGGAUCGGCUAACUCCGUGCCAGCAGCCGCGGUAAUACGGAGGAUCCGAGCGUUAUCCGGAUUUAUUGGGUUUAAAGGGAGCGUAGGUGGAUUGUUAAGUCAGUUGUGAAAGUUUGCGGCUCAACCGUAAAAUUGCAGUUGAAACUGGCAGUCUGGAGUACAGUAGAGGUGGGCGGAAGUCGUGGUGUAGCGGUGAAAUGCUUAGAUAUCACGAAGAACUCCGAUUGCGAAGGCAGCUCACUGGACUGCAACUGACACUGAGGCUCGAAAGUGUGGGUAUCAAACAGGAUUAGAGACCCGGGUAGUC
rnacentral:rRNA from 1 species